GGCCGAGUCAGCUGACCACACGUCCAGCAUCCAACAGUGUAGAGAGUAUCCUAGCAAUCACAGUGAGGGCCGGGGGCUAUCGUGAGGUGAAAGCAGAUGUUUUCUAAAAGGAAGAGCGAUUCAACCACUUCAGAGAUGUACAGAAAACAGGGAUGCCAGUAAUCUCGGAUUUAUUGCCUACAACUACAGUAAAUACUAUGCAGACCAAAUACAACAAUUGUAAGCUCCUAGGAGCUGGGUCCUCCACCCUCCUGCUCUCGCAGCCCUCUUCUCAUGCACAUCAACUACAGCCUUCACCUACUCUGUGGCCCUAUAGCACUUACUCCACUCGCUCGUAGACCGUCAUCUCCUGCAGCUACUUUAACCUGCCAGAUGCGCCGUUGCUAUGGGAUACAGGAUGCAACCCAUGCCGAAUACUCCCUCUCACUCUUUGUUUCCCAGCUGUAUUGUGUACUGUGGUUUUACUUGUUACGUACUGCUAUGCUCUGCUUACUGCACUGUUCUGUUCACCCUGUGCUAGUGUACUGUCUUAUUCUGUGCCACAUGUACGGUGCUGCGGACCACUUGUGGCACCCUAUAAAUAAAGUGUACUUAAAGUAAUAAAUAA